CUGGACAUUGCCACAUCUGCACGCAAUCCAAGAACUAGGCCAGCCCGAGGAGGAAGCCGGCAAGAGGGGAAGAUUUUUGUAAAGAUCAGCGGCCCUCACAAGAGGACUCUGUGCAGGCUGGAGUGGAUGCACUUGGAAUAGAGGGACAGGUGAUCCACACUCUCCAAGCCUGUUGUAUAUAUGUGGCAACCUACCAUCCAACAGAGCAGCGAGCCCAGCAGAAUUGCUGUGCCACAUGGAGACCAAGCAUCGCGAAUUAAAAGACAAGCCUUUGAAGCUAUUCAAAGAAAUACGAAGGUGAACAAAAAGAACUGACGCGAUUACAGAGAGCUACCACUUCAUCAAAGAUGACUGCCGUGAGCGCGUCCUCCUCGGUGGCUGGCCGCGUGACUGACACUGUUGGGAAACAGCUGACCUUGCCCGCUGCCCGGGACGUUUGUGGUGAACUAGAAGCUGCAGUUCGAAGGGUGGCGUGUGCUCUUCCUUUGGAUAGCACCAUACCUAGAUGAACUGAUGAAAGAGCAGAAAAUACCGAGACGCAACUGUUAGAGAGGAGCAACGAGUCACUGUGGCAGGAUGACAGGGGGAUGAGUCUACCAGUAUUGACAACAAGGCAACAAUGCUUGUUUUCAUAUGUUAUGUACCCUUUGGUUGCCAACCAACACCGCAGCUGAAGAACUGCUCAAAUCACUUAAGGAUUGCAUAUCAGGAAAAUGUA